CAGCAGCCACGGUAAUACGGAGGGAGCUAGCGUUAUUCGGAAUUGCUGGGCGUAAAGCGCACGUAGGCGGCUUUGUAAGUUAGAGGUGAAAGCCUGGAGCUCAACUCCAGAAUUGCCUUUAAGACUGCAUCGCUUGAAUCCAGGAGAGGUGAGUGGAAUUCCGAGUGUAGAGGUGAAAUUCGUAGAUAUUCGGAAGAACACCAGUGGCGAAGGCGGCUCACUGGACUGGUAUUGACGCUGAGGUGCGAAAGCGUGGGGAGCAAACAGGAUUAGAUACCCGCGUAGUCCCUGUCUCUUAUAC
rnacentral:rRNA from 1 species